rnacentral:rRNA from 14 species
CCAGAAAGGGUGUUGGUUCAUUUAAACAGCAGGACGGUG